CAAAAACAUGUCCUUUUGUGAAUGAUUUAAGGUCAGGCCUGCCCAAUGAUUAUUUUGAAUGGCCGCAGUAUUUUGACUGUGCAAAGGUAGCAUAAUCAUUAGUUUCUUAAUUAGAAGCUGGUAUGAAUGGUUUGAUGAAAAAUUAACUGUCUCAGUUUAAGUGAUUUUGAAUUUUAUUAUUAAGUGAGAAAGCUUAAAUUUUUUAUAAAGACGAGAAGACCCUAUAGAGUUUUAUAAUUAUUUUUGUUAAUUUUAUUAGGUUUAUUUUUAUUUUAAUAAUGAUAAUUAUUUUGUUGGGGUGACAUUAAAAUUUAAUAAACUUUUAUUUUGAAUAACAUUAAUUUAUGAAUAAUUGAUCCUGAAGUUUAGAUUAAAAGAAAAAAUUACCUUAGGGAUAACAGCGUAAUUUUUUUGUAAAGUUCUUAUUGAUAAAAAAGUUUGCGACCUCGAUGUUGGAUUAAAAUUUAGUUUGGGUGUAGGAGCUUGAAUAUUAGGUCUGUUCGACCUUUAAAAUUUUACAUGAUCU
rnacentral:rRNA from 1 species